CUAGAGUUAUUUAUCUUGAUGGGU
rnacentral:siRNA from 1 species